CCUANGGGUGGCAGCAGUGGGGAAUUUUGCGCAAUGGGCGAAAGCCUGACGCAGCAACGCCGCGUGGGUGAUGAAGGUCUUCGGAUCGUAAAACCCUGUCGUCGAGGACGAAGGGCGUGGGGUUAAUAGCUUCAUGUCUUGACGGUACUCGGAGAGGAAGCCCCGGCUAACUCUGUGCCAGCAGCCGCGGUAAUACAGAGGGGGCAAGCGUUAUUCGGAAUUAUUGGGCGUAAAGGGCGCGUAGGCGGUUUGUUAAGUCAGAUGUGUAAUCCCCGAGCUCAACUUGGGAACUGCAUCUGAGACUGGGAGACUAGAGUACUGGAGAGGGUGGUAGAAUUCCACGUGUAGCGGUGAAAUGCGUAGAGAUGUGGAGGAAUACCAGUGGCGAAGGCGGCCACCUGGACAGUAACUGACGCUGAGGCGCGAAAGUGUGGGUAGCAAACAGGAUUAGAUACCCUANUANUC
rnacentral:rRNA from 1 species